AUUGCUCUGACCAGUGUGGACCGGGACUUGAAACACUUUGACGGACAUUAUGACACACGCAAGUGCGGGAACUUUGGGAUGUUAGUUGGGUCCUAGCACACUCAGAAACAGCUCUGUUCCCACCAGCUCCUGAGAAAAAUGGUUUUUUAACUCCUGAAUGCUCCCCUGGGUUCAACAUCUAAGGCAGCAGUGUCUUCCGAACAAUGCUGGAUGCAGCAGUUACCUUAUCUGUUAAGAAAUGGUGCCACCGAUGUUCACUUGACAGCCUGGACAAGGCGUGAUGGGGCCUGUUGUUAUGUCACCU